rnacentral:rRNA from 1 species
GUGGGGAAUAUUGGACAAUGGGCGAAAGCCUGAUCCAGCCAUGCCGCGUGUGUGAAGAAGGUCUUCGGAUUGUAAAGCACUUUAAGUUGGGAGGAAGGGCAGUAAGUUAAUACCUUGCUGUUUUGACGUUACCAACAGAAUAAGCACCGGCUAACUUCGUGCCAGCAGCCGCGGUAAUACGAAGGGUGCAAGCGUUAAUCGGAAUUACUGGGCGUAAAGCGCGCGUAGGUGGUUCAGCAAGUUGAAGGUGAAAUCCCCGGGCGCAACCUGGGAACUGCCUCCAAAACUACUGAGCUAGAGUACGGUAGAGGGUAGUGGAAUUUCCUGUGUAGCGGUGAAAUGCGUAGAUAUAGGAAGGAACACCAGUGGCGAAGGCGACUACCUGGACUGAUACUGACACUGAGGUGCGAAAGCGUGGGGAGCAAACAGGAUUAGAUACCCCGGUAGUCC